UGCAUUUAGAUGUAAUAAAAUAAGUUAAUAUGAGUAUGUAAAAAAAAAAUAGAAAAAUGCAUGAAGUAUGGCAAUUGGAUUAUAACUACAUUAUGGCUAAAUCAUAUUAACAACUUUUAUGUAUACAAAUACACCCAUAUAAAUUUGGACAUUUUAAAAUGUUUAGUUUAAAUGGAGAGCUUAAAGUAAAUGCAAUAGCCAGAAUAUUAAAAAAUAACAUCUUUGGUAGGAGUAACUUGAUUAGUAUUAUGAUUAGUAUUAAUGGAUGGGUUAAUUCAAAUGUAUUAUAUGUUCUAUAAAAAAAAAAAAAAUAAAAUAAUAAAAAAAAGCAGCACUCGCCAAUCAUAAAUAAAAAAAAAAAAAAAAAAAGUAUAUACGCCAUACAUGUACAUAAAAAUGAAGUGAACAUUUAACUAAAAAAAAAUAAAAUAAAAUAAGCAGACGAAUAGAUAGAUAAAGAGCAAAAUAAAACAAAAUAAACAAUAGAAUAAAAAAGAUCAUAAUAAAAUAAAGACAUAAAAACUAGUACACUUUUUUUUUUUUUUUUAUUUUUUUUCAAUACACUUGAAAGUGCCUAAAAUGAAUAAAAAAAUUAAAUAAAAAUGAAAAAACACAUCAUAGUAUUAUUUUAUUUUGUUAUAAUUUUUAAUCUUUUUUUAAUAGUUGAUGCAGUGAACAGAAAAGACCUGCAAAGGAGUUUUAAAAAGGUAAAUAGACGAAAUGAUCCUACGGAGAAAAAGGAAAAGGUUGAAAUAAUGAAGGAUACAACAAAAUUGUCAAAUAUCGAAUUAAAAUCAUCCAAUUUCUUUAAAAUACUUGGUACGCCAGGGCUAAUGCAAAAUACAGGUGGUGUAAUGGCACAACCACCAAUUUACAGACAUGUGUAUAAUAUUCAUGAUUAUAAUGAAAACAAUGGUGCCAUUAUACCUUUUGUUCUUUUUGGUAUAUUAAUUUUCUUUGUUUUAUUUUUUAUUUUUUAUUUUAUUGUAAAAAAUCAUGUAAAGCAUAUAGAAUAUAUGAACGCUUCUGACUAAAGACGUUUAGAUAGUUCAACAUUUAUAUUUUAUGUUAACAUAUGCUACUUUUUUUUUCUUUUUUUUUCUUUUUUUUUCGAAAUGUUUUUUUUUUUUAUUUAAAAUUAAAAAAAAAAAAAAAAAAAAAUUAUUCCAUUGUUUUUACCAUUGUUUUUUUUUGUUAUGCCUUGUUAAAAAAAUAUAAAUAUUUCCAAUAACAAAAAUUUAAAACCAAUAAACGUUAGAUUAAAACAUUUUACA
rnacentral:lncRNA from 1 species